rnacentral:rRNA from 1 species
CCGCGUGUGUGAAGAAGGCCUUAUGGUUGUAAAGCACUUUAAGCGAGGAGGAGGCUACUUUAGUUAAUACCUAGAGAUAGUGGACGUUACUCGCAGAAUAAGCACCGGCUAACUCUGUGCCAGCAGCCGCGGUAAUACAGAGGGUGCGAGCGUUAAUCGGAUUUACUGGGCGUAAAGCGUGCGUAGGCGGCUUAUUAAGUCGGAUGUGAAAUCCCCGAGCUUAACUUGGGAAUUGCAUUCGAUACUGGUGAGCUAGAGUAUGGGAGAGGAUGGUAGAAUUCCAGGUGUAGCG